GUCUGAGAAGACAAUUUCGUUUUCAUUACAGAUUGCUGUACAAAAUUUUGCAAUCACAACACAUACUAUUAUAUGUGUAUAAAAAAACAUAUAUGUAUGAAAAUCCUAUUAUUAACUAUAACGAUAAAAUAUUCAGAAACCCGUAACAAAAUGGAAGAACUGCAAAAGGCCACUUCACAUUUAAUUAUGCCAAACGACACUUUACAAAUGACCUACUAAAAUUUUUUAUGAGAAAAAUUAGUUAAUUCUGUAAAGCGAACAAUCUAAUUUAAAAACACUUUAUAAAUUCUUCAAUGCCACUCUGAUUCACGGACAAAACACGCUUAUUGGAUAAAGUUACCAACACCGAGUAUUUAAAGGAAAUUUCUUCGGAAUUCUGAAGCGAGUUCAUCAAACCGUGAAAUCGAUUCACUAUUUUGGUACCCGUAUUUGCGAAACAAUAUCCGACGUUUACCGCGAAUAUUUUGCAGUUCAACACGUAUCUAUAGGAUGGAGACACUUCGAGAACUCAAAUGCCACGCUCUAUCUCUUUCCUACCUUCAAACGGCAGCUUACCGCUAUUUCUCUUCACAAUUCCUUCUUGUUCACAGAAGCUCCUAAUCUAACAUUUACUUUUUCAUUCUCUUACUUAACCUAAGUGGGUUAAGCCAGAUUAUGUAUUUAAAUCCCUGCUAGAUCUUCGAGAGGCAGAGAAAAAAGAGCACGGUGAGAAAAUAACUUUUGACAUGGAAAAAUACGCGGUCGUUCGUUAAAGAAGAAAAAUGACAAAGGGGAUAAAAACGUCAGCCUUCGAAUCGACUAUUCUUACGGUCCUGCACGGUGCAUCAAUUCGCUUUCGUCGAAGUUGUAAAUUCGCGGCGCUGAUAUACAUUUCUGGUGCGCGAUGUGCGUCAGUAGAGGUUAUGUCGGAACAUUUGGGAGAUUGAAGAAGAGGCACAACGCGAUUCGAUUGGGCUCGAAACAGAGACUUCCGCCAAAGGCACGGCGGAUCGAGGUUAUAUACGCUCUUUUAAUGACGCACAUCAAAAUCGAACGACGGAGAAAUCGGACGGCUGCAGGCUUGACCUGAUUCCAGGAGAGUGCAUAAUGCUGUAAACGUAUCGCGGAAAAAUGUCGGACCAGGCGCGGGGAAACGUUACGUGAAUGAUUUCGCAGGUGCAACCUA